rnacentral:lncRNA from 1 species
CCCCAGUAGUCGACCUUCCACAAUGUCCUCCAGAUCCCUCCAAUGGACGAAGUCCUAUCGUGCCGUUCGGACUUCUCCAAUAAUGGGCUCCUCUGUUCAUCUACCGAACUGCUCCAAAUGCUCUCUGGACUUCACUAUCAGUCGAUUUUCUACAGUGAUUGAUUUUACUCCAAACUUCUUUCAGACUUCGUUAAUGAUUGAGCUUCUCCA